UACAGGGGGUGCAAACGUUGCUCGGAAUUAUUGGGCGUAAAGCGCCCGUAGGCGGUUCGUUAUGUCAGAUGUGAAAGCCCUUGGCUCAACUGAGGAAGUGCAUCUGAAACUGGCGAGCUAGAGUAUGUAAGAGGGUCGCGGAAUUCCCGGUGUAGAGGUGAAAUUCGUAGAUAUCGGGAGGAACACCGGUGGCGAAGGCGGCGACCUGGGACAAUACUGACGCUGAGGUGCGAAAGCGUGGGGAGCAAACAGG
rnacentral:rRNA from 1 species